rnacentral:rRNA from 1 species
AUUGAACGCUGGCGGCAUGCCUUACACGUGCAAGUCGAACGGCAACAGGUCUUCGGAUGCUGACGAGUGGCGAACGGGUGAGUAAUACAUCGGAACGUGCCUAGUAGUGGGGGAUAACUACUCGAAAGAGUGGCUAAUACCGCAUGAGAUCUACGGAUGAAAGAAGGGGCUCGCAAGACCUUGUGCGUCUAGAGCGGCCGAUGGCAGAUUAGGGAGUUGGUGGGAUAAAAGCUUACCAAGCCGACGAUCUGUAGCUGGUCUGAGAGGACGAUCAGCCACACUGGGACUGAGACACGGCCCAGACUCCUACGGGAGGCAGCAGUGGGGAAUUUUGGACAAUGGGGGCAACCCUGAUCCAGCCAUUCCGCGUGAGUGAAGAAGGCCUUCGGGUUGUAAAGCUCUUUCGGCAGGAACGAAACGGCGAGCUCUAACAUAGCUUGCUAAUGACGGUACCUGAAGAAGAAGCACCGGCUAACUACGUGCCGGCCGCCGCGGUAAGAC